AGAGAGAGAGAGAGAGAGAGAGAGAGAGAGAGAGAGAGAGAGAGAGAGAGAGAGAGAGACUAAUCAAAAUCUAGCAUCAGUCAACAAUAGCCAGAAAAAAAAAAAUAAUAAAUACUUGUUUCCUCAUACAUUCUAAGCUUGCAGAGAGAGAGAGAGAGAGAGAGAGAGAGAGAGAGAGAGAGAGAGAGAGAGAGAGAGAGAGAGAGAGAGAGAGAGAGAGAGAGAGAGAGAGAGAGAGAGAGAGAGAGAGAGAGAGAGAGAGAGAGAGAGAGAGAGAGAGAGAGAGAGAGAGAAGGAAAAAAAAAAAAAUGAAAAAGAAGGAAGAGGAAGAGGAGGAAGAGGAGAGAGAGGUAAGGAUGGAAAACACAGGGUAAAAACACACCUUAACUCUAUAUAUAACCACUCCAACAAGCACAAGAUAUUCAGUUUUGAUGGCAGCAGGUCCCAUAACCCAAGAAAUACUUACUGCACCAACAAACACAACAGUCUUCAUCACCGCUAACCACUCCACACAAGUCUUUGCCUCUUGUCUCUAUCUAUAUAGUUCUAUUUUUACUUUUCCCUCCAAAACGUGACAC